GUGGAUUAGAUACUCUGGUAGUCCACGCCCUAAACGAUGAAUACUCGAUGUUGGCGAUAUACGGUCAGCGUCUAAGCGAAAGCGUUAAGUAUUCCACCUGGGGAGUACGCCCGCAAGGGUGAAACUCAAAGGAAUUGACGGGGGCCCGCACAAGCGGAGGAGCAUGUGGUUUAAUUCGAUGAUACGCGAGGAACCUUACCCGGGCUUGAAAGUUAGUGAAUGAGACAGAGACGUCUCAGUCCUUCGGGACACGAAACUAGGUGCUGCACGGUCGUCGCCAGCU
rnacentral:rRNA from 1 species